AGUGAACGCUGGCGGUAGGCCUAACACAUGCAAGUCGAACGGCAGCACAGUAAGAGCUUGCUCUUACGGGUGGCGAGUGGCGGACGGGUGAGGAAUACAUCGGAAUCUACUUUUUCGUGGGGGAUAACGUAGGGAAACUUACGCUAAUACCGCAUACGACCUACGGGUGAAAGCAGGGGAUCUUCGGACCUUGCGCGAUUGAAUGAGCCGAUGUCGGAUUAGCUAGUUGGCGGGGUAAAGGCCCACCAAGGCGACGAUCCGUAGCUGGUCUGAGAGGAUGAUCAGCCACACUGGAACUGAGACACGGUCCAGACUCCUACGGGAGGCAGCAGUGGGGAAUAUUGGACAUUGGGCGCAAGCCUGAUCCAGCCAUACCGCGUGGGUGAAGAAGGCCUUCGGGUUGUAAAGCCCUUUUGUCGGGAAAGAAAAGCAGCAGGUUAAUACCCCGCUGUUCUGACGGUACCCAAAGAAUAAGCACCGGCUAACUUCGUG
rnacentral:rRNA from 1 species